CAUUCGAUAAAAACAUGCCACCUGGAUGAUGUUUCCUAAAAGAAUAACAGACAUAUGAAAUGAUUGCUCAAACUAGAGACAAACUUACCUAGUUUUUUUAAUCCAAAUUAUAAGUUUUUCUGAAAUUUAUAACUUAUAUGUGAAUACAUAUAUACUAUAACAUAAAAUGUAUUUGUCUAUAUUAAACGCGAUAUCAAAUCGUUAUCAAAUCGUUAUCAAAUCGUUAUCAAAUCGUCGUACGUCAAUCCUCUCCUCCAUUUUACUUGAUAUAAAAACAUUUGGAUAGAUCAGAAAAAGAAAAAGAAAAAAAAAAAAAAAAGAAAAAGAAAUCAGAAAAACUUCCUUAAAUGUUUGUACAUAAUCGACGAUUCGAUUAUUUAAAACACGAACAGAUCUGUUGACGUUACGAGAAAAUAUCGUGAAAUGGCAAAAAUUAUUCUUCUCCAACUUGAAGUUCCUAUAAAACACGCACGUACGUAUAUACACACGGGAACACACACACACGUACAUACAUACACAAAUAUAUAGAAAGACAAACUUUUGUGAGAGUUUACACAAUUUGUGUAAAAAGGUAGAAAAUGUUGAAACGACAGAAAGAAUAAUUUAUAACGAUUGUUAUAACAAAAAUCCAUCAAACUCGCAAGGGAAAUAAUAUUACAUUUUUCUUUUGAAAUGUUCAUCGGGAAGCAUAUACCAAAAUUUACAAUCUUGUACAACAGUAACAAAGUGUUUAAGAGUUGAGGAAGAGAACAAUCCGAUGACAGCGACGUACGAUUUGCUAUACGAGUAUUACAUUAACGAUGUGUUGUCGAUAUAUCAAAAAAAAAAAAAAAAAAAAAAAAGAAAAAGAAAAAAUAAAUAAAACAAAAUUAAACAAAAAAUAAAUAAAUAAAUAUUUAUAAAAAAAAAUAAAUAAAUAAAAUAAAAUAAAGAAAGACAAGAAAAAAAGAAACAAAUGUGAAGGGGGUAGGGGGUGGGUAGGAGGUGGAGACAAACAACGGAUCCUAUGUAAGUUUCUUGGGCGAAACUCUUUCCUCUUGAAGGAUAUCGCAAAGAUAAAAAAGAAGUGUAACGAAAGUCACCUGAAAUAUUAAUCUCACCUGCCGUAUUAUAAAAGAGUUUCCAAUUUUGCAGAUUACGAAGUGCAUGACCCCACAUGAAAGAUCCGAGUUUAUGGAAAGCUCCGGAACGAACGUCUCGAUGGAGAAAACAUUAAAAAACGCACAUACACACACAAACAUCGUAGAAUUUCGUUACAAACGUAAUCGUCGAAACUCGUCUGUUAUCACAAAGUCAUUUCACCGGAAAUUCAUCCGACAUCCCUUGAAUAGCUCUUUCGUAAAAAUAGAUGGAAACUUUUCCUCGGUAAAAAGCACAACCUGCUUAAAAUGGUAAGAGAGACACGCAACAAUACAAAAAAUAAAACACACAACGACCACAGCA